UACGAAGGGGGCUAGCGUUGUUCGGAAUUACUGGGCGUAAAGGGCGCGUAGGCGGUACUUCAAGUCAGGCGUGAAAGCCCCGGGCUCAACCUGGGAACCGCGCUUGAGACUGGCAUGCUCGAGUUCGGGAGAGGAUGGUGGAAUUCCCAGUGUAGAGGUGAAAUUCGUAGAUAUUGGGAAGAACACCGAUGGCGAAGGCAGCCAUCUGGACCGACACUGACGCUGAGGCGCGAAAGCGUGGGGAGCAAACAGGG
rnacentral:rRNA from 1 species